rnacentral:rRNA from 2 species
UAGGGAAUAUUAGUAAUGGGCGAAAGCCUGAACUAGCAAUACCGCGUGUGCGAAGAAGGCCUUCGGGUUGUAAAGCACUUUUUGGGAGGACGAGGAAGGACGGUACUCCCAGAAUAAGUCUCGGCUAACUACGUGCCAGCAGCCGCGGUAACACGUAGGAGGCGAACGUUAUCCGGAUUUACUGGGCGUAAAGCGCGUGUAGGUGGUUCGGUAAGUAGGGCGUGAAAGCUCCCGGCUCAACUGGGAGAGGCCGUUCUAAACUGCCGAGCUAGAGGAUGGUAGAGGGAGGUGGAAUUCCGAGUGUAGCGGUGGAAUGCGCAGAUAUUCGGAGGAACACCAGUGGCGAAGGCGGCCUCCUGGACCAUUCCUGACACUCAGACGCGAAAGCUAGGGUAGCAAACGGG